GUGGUUGUAGCUCAGUGGUAGAGCACUCACUUCGAAUGUGUGAGGCCUUGGGUUCAAUCCUCAGCACCACA
rnacentral:tRNA from 1 species